AAACCCUUUCCUUCCCUCUUUCUCUCAUUCUCUCUGCAAAAUCGAAAGUUAGAGAAACCCUUUCCUUCCGUCUCGCUUGAAGGAGAAGGAGGAGGAGCAUUGGCUGUAUAUAAGAAAACCCAGAUCCCCCCCUGCGAUUUGAAGCUGUAGGAGAAGGAGAAAGAACAUCUUCAAUCGGCUUCAAGGAGAAGAUAAAUGUCUACUUCAAGUGUUGGUUGCCAUAAGUCUGAUGCAUUAAAGUACAAAUGCGUAAAAGCUGUCAUUCGGAUGAAUACUCUUUUAUAGCUGUCCAGACUUGGAUGGAUGUAAAUUCUUUGCUUGGUGUGAUACCAUUAAUGCACCAGUCAUCAACUUACCGAACAGAUAAGUACCAGCAAACACCCCCAUCUGUAAAUUGCUUGAGUUGCAAGCGGAGGUACAAGGCUUGGUAGAACAGGUCUGUGGCUUGCAAGUCUGCGAUUCGUGAAGUGUGGGAGGAGUUGCGGGUCUUGUGAGUGGUCGUACAAGGGUUGCUACAAGAGUUUGGAAUUGAGAAGUUUAGAUUGGAUGAGAUAGAGAAGUUGACAAUAUCAAUCAAGCUCGUGUGUCAAUUUGUAGUUGUUUUCUUUGUGGGAGUACUUGAAACUAUUUGUAUGGGUAAAAUAGUGUGACAGUAUUGGAGUACUUGUAACCUAACUAUUUUGUAUGGGUAAAAUAGUGUCAUAGUAUUGGAGUA